UGUGGUGAUGAUGGCGAGAAGGAUACACCUGUUCCCAUGUCGAACACAGAAGUUAAGCUUCUUAGCGCCGAGAGUAGUUGGGGGAUCG
rnacentral:rRNA from 1 species